rnacentral:rRNA from 1 species
GGGUUGUGAGGUUAAGCGACUAAGCGUACACGGUGGAUGCCCUGGCAGUCAGAGGCGAUGAAGGACGUGCUAAUCUGCGAUAAGCGUCGGUAAGGUGAUAUGAACCGUUAUAACCGGCGAUUUCCGAAUGGGGAAACCCAGUGUGAUUCGUCACACUAUCAUUAACUGAAUCCAUAGGUUAAUGAGGCGAACCGGGGGAACUGAAACAUCUAAGUACCCCGAGGAAAAGAAAUCAACCGAGAUUCCCCCAGUAGCGGCGAGCGAACGGGGAGGAGCCCAGAGCCUGAAUCAGUGUGUGUGUUAGUGGAAGCGUCUGGAAAGGCGCGCGAUACAGGGUGACAGCCCCGUACACAAAAAUGCACAUGCUGUGAGCUCGAUGAGUAGGGCGGGACACGUGGUAUCCUGUCUGAAUAUGGGGGGACCAUCCUCCAAGGCUAAAUACUCCUGACUGACCGAUAGUGAACCAGUACCGUGAGGGAAAGGCGAAAAGAACCCCGGCGAGGGGAGUGAAAAAGAACCUGAAACCGUGUACGUACAAGCAGUGGGAGCCUCUUUUAUGGGGUGACUGCGUACCUUUUGUAUAAUGGGUCAGCGACUUAUAUUCUGUAGCAAGGUUAACCGAAUAGGGGAGCCGAAGGGAAACCGAGUCUUAACUGGGCGUUAAGUUGCAGGGUAUAGACCCGAAACCCGGUGAUCUAGCCAUGGGCAGGUUGAAGGUUGGGUAACACUAACUGGAGGACCGAACCGACUAAUGUUGAAAAAUUAGCGGAUGACUUGUGGCUGGGGGUGAAAGGCCAAUCAAACCGGGAGAUAGCUGGUUCUCCCCGAAAGCUAUUUAGGUAGCGCCUCGUGAAUUCAUCUCCGGGGGUAGAGCACUGUUUCGGCAAGGGGGUCAUCCCGACUUACCAACCCGAUGCAAACUGCGAAUACCGGAGAAUGUUAUCACGGGAGACACACGGCGGGUGCUAACGUCCGUCGUGAAGAGGGAAACAACCCAGACCGCCAGCUAAGGUCCCAAAGUCAUGGUUAAGUGGGAAACGAUGUGGGAAGGCCCAGACAGCCAGGAUGUUGGCUUAGAAGCAGCCAUCAUUUAAAGAAAGCGUAAUAGCUCACUGGUCGAGUCGGCCUGCGCGGAAGAUGUAACGGGGCUAAACCAUGCACCGAAGCUGCGGCAGCGACGCUUAUGCGUUGUUGGGUA